rnacentral:rRNA from 2 species
AAGCGGAGGAAAGGAAACCAACAGGGAUUGCCUCAGUAACGGCGAGUGAAGCGGCAAAAGCUCAAAUUUGAAAUCCCCCGGGAAUUGUAAUUUGAAGAGAUUUGGGUCCGGCCGGCGGGGGGUUAAGUCCACUGGAAAGUGGCGCCACAGAGGGUGACAGCCCCGUGAACCCCUUUAAAGCCCUCAUCCCAGAUCUCCAAGAGUCGAGUUGUUUGGGAAUGCAGCUCUAAGUGGGUGGUAAAUUCCAUCUAAAGCUAAAUACCGGCGAGAGACCGAUAGCGAACAAGUACAGUGAUGGAAAGAUGAAAAGCACUUUGAAAAGAGAGUGAAAAAGUACGUGAAAUUGUUGAAAGGGAAGGGCUUGCAAGCAGACACUUAACUGGGCCAGCAUCGGGGCGGCGGGAAACAAAACCACCGGGGAAUGUACCUUUCGAGGAUUAUAACCCCGGUCUCUAUUUCCAUGUUGCCCCGAGGCCUGCAUUCUAAGGAUGCUGGCGUAAUGGUUGCAAGUCGCCCGUCUU